rnacentral:rRNA from 1 species
CCGGGCAAAUUAUCCUCAUAAGUUAGAUGACAAGAGGUACCGAUAAAAACUUAUUUAUCUAAGCAAUUUACGGUUGUUAUUAUAUUAUACCUUGUCAGAUUAUAUUCUUCGAGGGUAAAGAUAAUAUAAUACCUUUCCAUAUUUCCUCUUCGGAGGAAAAGUGGUGGGGAUAAUUAGAUAUUAAUUAUAAUAUUCGGUGGCACAGAAUCGGAGGCCCCGACUGUUUACUAAAAACACAUCACAGUGCAAUCAUUAAUAUGGUAGUAUACUGUGUGAAAUUUGCCCGAUGCCAUUAAUAUAAAAAAAGUUAUGGUAUAUUUUUUAUGCUGUGACUGAUUGAAAAUCUGGUUAAUAGCGGUCUUAACUAUGAGGAUCCUAAGGUAGCAAAAUCAGUUGGCCAUUAAAUGUGGUCCGGUAUCAAUAAUGUAACGAUGGUCUCACUGUCUCUACAACUUGCUCAGUGAAAUUGAAUUACGCGUGCAGAUGCGCGUUGCCUUCAGGGGGACGGGAAGACCCUAUGCAGCUUUUACUG